GACGGACGCUGGCGGCGUGGAUUAGGCAUGCAAGUCGAACGGUAUCAUCCUUCGGGGGUGAGAGAGUGGCGAACUGGUGAGUAACACGUAGGUUAUCUACCCUCAAGACGGGGACAACCCAGGGAAACUUGGGCUAAUACCGGAUGUGAGCAACUUUUAGUUGUUUGAAAGGUGGCGUAAGCUGUCGCUUGGGGAUGAGCCUGCGUCCUAUUAGUUAGUUGGUGAGGUAACGGCUCACCUAGGCAAUGAUAGGUAGGCGGCCUUAACGGGUGGUCGCCCACACUGGGAUUGAGAUACGGCCCAGACUCCUACGGGAGGCAGCAGUCGAGAAUAGUCUACAAUGGUCGGAAGACUGAUAGUGCGACGCCGCGUGAACGAUGAAUCCCUUCGGGGUGUAAAGUUCUUUUAUAUGUGAGCAGUGCUUCUUAUAUUAACAGUAUGGGGAGAGAGAUAUUAGCAUAUGAAUAAGCAACGGCUAACUCCGUG
rnacentral:rRNA from 1 species